rnacentral:sRNA from 1 species
CUCAGACGCGAAUUAGGACCAGCGGAGAUUGAAACUGAGAUCGUGGUCUCGUCUGUUUUCCGAUCGGCACGAGAUAUUUUGGGAAGCUUUGUGACGUCUGCAGCUAGGAUUUAACCGGAGCGAUUGAAUAGUUAACGGUUAGCUUGUAUUUUAGGGUUUCGUCUUUGAGACGGUUUGUUUCUGGUUUUUCCUGUCCAGUUUGCUUCAAGAUUGCUUUUGGUUGUGCACUUGUUGCAGGACGUUUCUGCACUGUUUCAGACGCAAGGAGAGUCUCUCCUGGGUUUAAUUGCUAUUAGAAUCAAUUUGUUAAGGUGAGUGCGUGACCAUGAGCUUAUCUGAGCGAUUGGGUUGUGUGAUGAUAUGUAGGUGUGGUGAAUGUGUUUUGGG